UCAUAUAUUUGCAUUGUUGAGGUAACAUAAUCUGUCCUCUUUGUGCAUGAUACCAUUCAACAUUCAUAUUUUCUAGCAAAUUCGUGAAGUAUCAAUACCAGUACUAGACACAUGAGUUGUUGCUAAAUAAAGCAUAGAUUUCAGAAUUUCAUUUUUGUUCUGCCGGACAAUUACAUUGAGUUGAUUUACAAUACAGCAAAUUCGUGAAGCACCAGGUCUAGUACCAGACAUAUUGUUGUUGAACAAGGCAUAGAUUUCAGAAUUUCAUUUUUUUCUCUGCCGAACAGUUGCAUUGGGUUGAUUUACAAUACAGCAAAUUUGUGAAGCACCACUACCAGUACCUGACAUAUGACUUGUUGCUAAACAAGGCAUAGAUUUCAAAAUUUCAAUUUUAAUUUGCCAGACAAUUGAUUGCGUUGAUUUACGAUACAGUUGCCCUUGGACAGAAGCCACUAAAUGAGUAAAGGACAACGGGACGAAACAACCUUCUACCUGGCCUAUGUACCUUGCCACUUUCAAUAAAAACAGGUGUGUUUCAAUUUGAUAUUUAAAUAUAUGUGGAUUUUGGGCUGCCCAUUGUGUGACUUUACCGAACUCCCCCUCCCAUUAAUGUAAAAAUAUCGAUGUACUAAAAAAUAUAUAUGUGGAUUUUUGUUUAAAAAGUAAAAUUACAAAGGUCUAUUUCUAAAGAACCCUAUGUAUCAACAACAAUUUCAACUAAUUCAAGUCCAGCAGCACAAUAAACUCAAAUAAAAAUUCAAUUAUUUUAAACACAGUGAUGAUCUUAUAUUCAAAGAUAAUUUUGAUCUAGGUGCUUGAUUUUUGAAUUUGAUAGACCCAACAUCCCUAGCUUUUAGACUUUUUAUUAAACUACUUUCUACAAUUUUGGUGCCACGAUUUUUAAAACGUCCUCUUUCUAAAAUUCAAAAUAACAUGAACUGUCAUUAAUCCACCAAUUUAUUCCAGAAACAAUAUCCAAAGCUCCUAAAUCUAGCCUUCUUUAAACCAAAAUUAUUAUUAUUACUCCAACAUAAAAAUACAUAAUUAUUAAGUUAUCAAUCAAUGAUAUGUACCAAAAAUUAAAAUUAUACAUACCAAAAACUAAAAUGAAACGUACCAUUAACUAAAAUAAAACAUACCAAAUACUAAAACUAAACAUACCAAUCAAUGAUAUGUGCACAACUGAACAUACCAAAAAACAAAAUUAAGUAUGAAAACCAAUAAUAAACGUACCAAUAAUGUAUACAAAAUAAUUCUCUUAAUAAAAUGUAUAUAUAACAAUUUAAAAAAUAUAAACAUCCACCAUUUUCGUUAUCUUGAACGUAAAAUUAUAUUUUAAUUUUAGGAGAAAAAAUAUUUUGUACGAAAAAAUUAUUAAAAAGAGAAUUGGAUAAAUAUAUUGAAUGAAAAACCAAGAUUAUCUCCAAAAAAAAUCGCUUAACUAAUUAAAGGACAAAUUAAGAAACCAAUAUACAGUGAGGUAUAUGGUAAUGGCAUGAGGAUGAAUGAAAAAACAACGGAAUAAAAAAAAAUAAAAAAAAAUUAAAACUAAAAAAUGGCCACGAUAUAUUCCGUUAUCAUAUUGUGAAAUCUUACAAUAUUGGGGACAUCGUGAUAUUAUAUGAUAUCUCGCAAAACAGUUUUCGUGAUGUGAUACUAGCUAAUUGUAAUACUUUUGUAAUAAUAUAGUACUAAAAACUGAAGUAAACAUACAUGUAAUAGUUCAUUUGUCACACAAGUCUAUACUUGUC